rnacentral:rRNA from 1 species
GACGAACGCUGGCGGCAUGCCUAAUACAUGCAAGUCGAGCGAACAGAUGAAGUGCUUGCACUUCUGACGUUAGCGGCGAACGGGUGAGUAACACGUAAGGAAUCUACCUAUAAGCGGGGGAUAACAUUCGGAAACGGGUGCUAAUACCGCAUAAUAUCUUCUUCCGCAUGGAAGAAGAUUGAAAGACGGCUCUGCUGUCACUUAUAGAUGACCUUGCGGUGCAUUAGUUAGUUGGUGGGGUAAUGGCCUACCAAGACGAUGAUGCAUAGCCGACCUGAGAGGGUGAUCGGCCACAUUGGGACUGAGACACGGCCCAAACUCCUACGGGAGGCAGCAGUAGGGAAUCUUCCGCAAUGGGCGAAAGCCUGACGGAGCAAUGCCGCGUGAGUGAAGAAGGCCUUCGGGUUGUAAAGCACUUUAGUUGGGGAGGAAGGUGAGUAGUUUAAGAGAUGAUUCACUUGACUGUACCCAAAGAAUAAGCACCGGCUAACUCUGUGCCAGCAGCCGCAGUAA